rnacentral:lncRNA from 1 species
GGUGUAUUAUAUGUUUCAGGAAACGUUCUCUGGAUCACGGUUAUACGUUGCCCAUCGAUCCAACCACUGGGGGGGGGUGAAAAUCUUGCUUUUUACAAAAAUGUUUUUCUACUUUCAAGUUCCCCAGUACAAAAAGAGAUUAAUGAAUAAUGUGAAUGGACUGUGUGGUCACAAGCUGCUCGAUGUGGGCAGGAAAACUAUGCGGAUCGUGGAGAUUACGCCCUUUCUGAAAUAUUCAGGAUACUCUGCUCUGCAAGGACAAUCUUUGAGAUCUAACUUUGUAUUUGGGAAUUUAUGAGCAACCUUUAUAAAGCGUCCCUUGUCUCUCUGUGUGAAUGGAGGUUCUACUUUGCUGUAAAACAUCAUUGAUGCAACAGUUUUUAGUUGGUGUUAUCAUUGUACGGCCACUUUAUAAUUCCAGAUACACGUGGAUAUUCUUAAGUGGUUCUAAGCAAAGCCACUCCUGGUGGAUCCUAGUUCAGAGACCCUGCCUUUGUCAAAUUUGAAAAAAUGAGCCCAUUCUUCCAAGAAGAAUUCAAAUUGUGGAUUCCUCGGUAACUAUCAACAGAACUACAUUCCAUUCUGAAUUGUUUCUUCACUUGAAAUUCCAUUUGAAAAGAUGCCAAUUUGUUUUGUUUUUUUAAAUGUUGUUCUAAAGAAUUUCCUUGUGACCGGCUAAGAGCACUAAUGGUGCAUUUGUCAUUGCCAAAACCUUUCUCCUACCUCACUCCCAUUUGAGAAUUAGGCAGUAUGUAUUUUUUAUUUUUUUUAAUUCUGGACCACAUCCAGCUCAUCACCUUCACUCCAGCAAGUGGUUGUGGUCAUUUAAAAAAUACACAUGUUUUUAUUUAAGAUUAACAUGUUGGGUUAGCCCAUGUUCAAACAUCUUUGUGGAGUCGAGGUGUUGACUAUUUACAAGUAAUUUUUUCACUUGUUUCAUGUUUUUUAAACACGUUUCCUAUAAUGAUGGUUAUAUAGAACACACAAUUCUGAGCAAAGCUCUCAUAGCAAAUGAAACUAGCAGGUGAUUGUUAUAUGUGAAAUACUUUGCCCUAGAACUGCAUUCUAUCCAGAACCCCUAAUGUGAUUUAGUAUUGGUAUUUCAAGAUCACGCCAUGGUUUUCAGGAUUCAACGCUCAGUCCAAAUGGACGACGGAAUCUGGCUUUGUACAAGUCGAUCCGUGAAAAUGUGUCAGGAUGCACCAAUACGUUGUAUGGAACCGGUGUGCCUAUAAAUAUUUAGGUGUAUAUAGGCUGAAAUAAGGUGUUGUGCAUUACUUUUCUCAACACAAGCGCCAACAACAUAGUUGACACAUUGGAAAUUUCUCUGAAGAAAAAUUCUGAGGUUACCUCCUAAGGGUGGAGUUGCGACCAUGGGAUGUACCUAGUGAUUUCUCAGGUUCUAGAAGUUUGUUCCUAAAUUGUUCAUUUGGUAAUAUUUUUUCCUAACUAAUUAUUGAUGUAUUUCACUGGUAAACGGACGAUGCUUUCAUAGUGCUGGGCCUUCAGCUAUGCAAGCACACGAGUGUCAUAACACAAAAUUCCAAACGAUCUAUUGCUCCAGACUUGCUUGUCCCUGUGGUCUGUCGGCCAAAUGUACAAAAUUGGCCAAACAUCUUUGGAUUUUAAUGAGUGGAAUGAAUACUUUAGUUAGGAGGGGGUGUUCACUGUAAUUUUUAAAUCCCAGCUGUUUUUCGUUUAGAAAUCUCUGAUGUUAAAAACAACUGCUCUUUAUUCAGUCCAGAUAUUCACGUGGCUUUCAGAAUAUAUUUAUUCUCCUCUCGCUGAGGAUUAAAUGUUGAAAGCCUAUUUUUGUCCCCACACCCUGCAAAUUCUUUAACACAGAAAGCUUGCGAUCUUAUUGUGUGAUCUUUCUUCUUGAAAAGCUCUUGGUUCUAUUUUGAACAAACUCUCCUUUGUGAAUUGCUCUGGUUGUCAUUUUUAAAAAUUUCCGCUCGGAUUUAAGUUUGGGAUUUAAAAUUAGAUUCCUGCGAUUUAUAUUUUGUUCCAGUGAUUUCCAGUGAGACAAAGCACCAUGUGAACUAUAAAUGAACCAAACAGAUUAUUUUUGUUUUGUUUGUUUUUCUACGAAUAUAAAUUCAACAAGUUUGAAAAUCUAGUAUUAAACCUUGGUGGGGAGGGAAUGGAGUUAGAUACUUGAUUGUGUGAGCCAGCAGUCAGUGAUACCAGGGUACAUAAAUUGUUUGAUUCCCUUACAAGAGUGGCUAAAUUAGCCCUGUGCCUUGCCACAAAUUAUUUUUUUAAAUGUUGGACGCUUUCUUGAAACGCCCCACCGCUCCUACAGGUUAGAAGAGUAUCAUGGCAAAUGUUGUCCAUAAACAUCUGGUAUAGAAGGGAAAUGCCUGCCAACAACGUCUAACCUUGGCUCUGCAGAGAUUAUCAAGGAGAGAAAGAAUUAGUACAGUCAGUCAAUUGAACAUGCAAAGUUUGCAAGCCAACUGCAGACACAUGUUUUUUCUCAAGACAGUCAUGGACAAAUGCUGGAACUGAAGCAGGUGACUAUUACUGGGCACAGAGUAUGUACCUGCUACAUGGUGGGGACAGUUUAGAAAUUACUUCAGAGUGUUGUAAUAACAGUUAUAUUAUAACACCCUAAAGACUGCAGUCACCACGAUUGUGGGGGUGGGCACCUCCUACACAUGAAAAGUACCCUCAGCCCACCACAAAUCUCCAACCCACACA